GCCCGCCUAGCUCAAUCGGAUAGAGCGUCAGACUCUUACAAUGUCUGUAGGCAGGCAAUCUGAAGGCUGCGAGUUCGACCCUCGCGGUGGGCU